AUUGAACGCUGGCGGCAGGCCUAACACAUGCAAGUCGAACGGUAACAGGAAGCAGCUUGCUGCUUUGCUGACGAGUGGCGGGCGGGUGAGUAAUGUCUGGGAAACUGCCUGAUGGAGGGGGAUAACUACUGGAAACGGUAGCUAAUACCGCAUAACGUCGCAAGCCCAAAGAGGGGGACCUUCGGGCCUCUUGCCAUCGGAUGUGCCCAGAUGGGAUUAGCUAGUAGGUGGGGUAACGGCUCACCUAGGCGACGAUCCCUAGCUGGUCUGAGAGGAUGACCAGCCACACUGGAACUGAGACACGGUCCAGACUCCUACGGGAGGCAGCAGUGGGGAAUAUUGCACGAUGGGCGCAAGCCUGAUGCAGCCAUGCCGCGUGUAUGAAGAAGGCCUUCGGGUUGUAAAGUACUUUCAGCGGGGAGGAAGGGAGUAAAGUUAAUACCUUUGCUCAUUGACGUUACCCGCAGAAGAAGCACCGGCUAACUCCGUG
rnacentral:rRNA from 1 species